rnacentral:lncRNA from 13 species
GCUGAAUCCCAGUCCUACUUCACUGGGCUCAAGUGCUGCAUCCCUGGAAGCAACUCCAGCACUCCUGGCUUGAUCACGGAGCCCAGGGGUGUUCUGCUACCACAGUGUUGUGCUUGUCUGUGCCGUGGCUCAGUGUUUUCUCUCUCUUCCGAGGGAGGAGGAGAUUUCCUGGCUGCCUGAUAGCAAGCUGGGCCACGUGGCAUGCUUUGAAUGACACAUGACAAUGAAAUUUGGGUAGAAGAGACAUGCGAGACUUUAAAAAAAAAUCAUAAUGUUUUUGGAGACAGGGUCUCACUGUGACAUCCAGGAUGGAGUGCCAUGUCGUGAUCGUGGCUCACUGUAGCCUUGACCUCCUGAGCGCAAGUGAUCCUCCUACCUCCGCUGCCUGAGUAGCUGGGACUACAGGCAGGCACCACUGCACCUGGCUAAUUAAUUUUUGUUUGUUUUUUUUUUUUUGGUAGAGACAGGGUCUCUCUAUGUUGCCUAGGCUGUUCUUGAACUCCUGGUCCCAAGGGAUCUGCCUGUCUCGGCUUCUCAAAAUGCUGGGAUUACAGGCAUGAGCCACUGAGCCUGGCCGGAGAUGUGUCACUUGAAGCAAGCACUUCCAGACUCUUCCGUGUUGCUCCACUGUUUCUCUUUUCCCGUGCUAUAAGACCUGCAGCCCAGGUCCUGGCUGCUCCUUCUACCUUGGUCCUGAGUGAAGAGGUCUUGCAGCAGAGGGUGAUGACCAACCUGUGAUGAUCAUGAAGAUGACUGCCUGGUGACUCCACCCUGGAAUCCUUGGUCUCUGUCAUCUCACAGGCUCUAGGCUUUUCCUGAACUUCUGGGACUGCCAUUGCCAUGUUCCUUGAUGAGAAAAUGGAGGCCCAAGUGGUUGAACUGCUGAGGUCACACCUCUACUUCCCAUCUGGAAUCCUGGUCUCCUGGGGGCAGGGCUACAUUGCAAGUGGAGUAAAUGAUCUGGAUGAGGAAAAAUUUGAAUCAGAGAAUAAUUUCCAAGGAAAUGUAGUAGGACUAUUUUCAUCUGUGCCUUAG